rnacentral:rRNA from 1 species
UACAGAGGUCUCAAGCGUUGUUCGGAUUCAUUGGGCGUAAGGGUGCGUAGGCGGCGCGGUAAGUCGGGUGUGAAAUCUCGGAGCUUAACUCCGAAACUGCAUUCGAUACUGCCGUGCCUUGAGGACUGGAGAGGAGACUGGAAUUUACGGUGUAGCGGUGAAAUGCGUAGAUAAUCGUAAGGAAGACCAGUGGCGAAGGCGGGUCUCUGGACAGUUCCUGACGCUGAGGACGAAGGCCCAGGGGAGCAAACGGG